rnacentral:rRNA from 1 species
CCUACGGGAGGCAGCAGUGAGGAAUAUUGGUCAAUGGUCGGGAGACUGAACCAGCCAAGCCGCGUGAGGGAUGAAGGUACAGAGUAUCGUAAACCUCUUUUGUCAGGGAACAAAGGCGGGGACGCGUCCCCGGAUGAGUGUACCUGAAGAAAAAGCAUCGGCUAACGCCGUGCCAGCAGCCGCGGUAAUACGGAGGAUGCGAGCGUGAUCAGGAUUUAUUGGGUUUAAAGGGGGCGCAGGCGGUCUGUUAAGUCAGCGGUAAAAGCCCGGGGCUCAACCCCGGCCCGCCGUUGAAACUGGCAGUCUCGAGUUGGAGAGAAGUAUGCGGAAUGCGCGGUGUAGCGGUGAAAUGCAUAGAUAUCGCGCAGAACUCCGAUUGCGAAGGCAGCAUGCCGGCUCCACACUGACGCUGAGGCACGAAAGCGUGGGUAUCGAACAGGAUUAGAUACCCUAGUAGUC